rnacentral:misc_RNA from 1 species
UUUCCGUAGGUGAACCUGCGGAAGGAUCAUUAAUAAAUGGUCUACGUUUUUUAAGUAGACGCUUAAUAAUCCUACCCUUUGUGAAUUUGUUUGUUUGAAAUAAUUUUUUUUAAAAUUAUUGAAUGUCUUUCCCUGUUGAAUUGGUUGUCUUUAAUGGCAAGUGAUUCGCAGGGGAGUGUCAAUAAUUUUUAAAAAGACCUUUUUUAAAAUUAAACUUUUUGUAUUCAUUUGUCUAAAAAUUAUUUUUAUAAUAUAAAAAACAACUUUUGACAAUGGAUCUCUUGGUUCUCGCAACGAUGAAGAACGCAGCAAAAUGCGAUAAGUAGUGUGAAUUGCAGAAUACGUGAAUCAUCGAAUCUUCGAACGCAUAUUGCACUUUUUUAGUUUACUAAAAAAGUAUGUCUGUUUGAGUAUCAGUAAAAUAUUCUCAUAAAAACUUUGUUUUUAUGGUUAUGAGUGUUUUACAACGAUACAAGUUGUUUCACUUUAAAUUUUUUUAAAAUUUGAAUUUUUCUAAUUUUAAAAUAAAAUUGGAUAAAAUUUUCCCGUAAAAAGGAAUAACCUAAACAAUUUUAAUUUUUGAUUAGAAUUCUUCAUUCUAAAGGAAAAUUUAACUAAAUAACUUGAUCUCAAAUCAGAUAAGAGUACCCGCUGAACUUAAGCAUAUCAAUAAGCGGAGGAAAGAAACUAACAAGGAUUCCUUAGUAACGGCGAGUGAAGCGGGAAGAGCUCAAAUUUGAAAUCUUCAAGGUUUUACCUUGACGAAUUGUAGUUUAAAGAAGUGUUUCUGUUGAAGUUUUGGUAAAAGUUCUUUGGAAUAGGACAUCAUAGAGGGUGAGAAUCCCGUAUUUGACCAUUAUUUUCAGCUGUGUGAUACACUUUCAAAGAGUCGGAUUGUUUGGGAAUGCAGUCCAAAAUGGGUGGUAAAUUUCAUCUAAAGCUAAAUAUUGGCGAGAGACCGAUAGCGAACAAGUACCGUGAGGGAAAGAUGAAAAGAACUUUGAAAAGAGAGUUAAACAGUACGUGAAAUUGUCAAAAGGGAAGCGUUUGACACCAGUGUUGUUUUCUCGAAAAUCAAUUAAAAAGAGUUGGAUUUUGUGUUGUAUUGACCUUAACAGCUUGCUUCACUCUUUUCCAGCUUUUUUUAAUGCACUUUUCGUUUAACAAGUCAACAUCAGUUUCUUUUGUUGUAAAAGGGUCAUUGGAAGGUGGCUUUCUCUUCGGAGAAAGUGUUUAUAGCCUUUGAUCUCUGCAAUCGGAGAGACUGAGGUCUGCAGCGUAGAUCCUUCGGGUUAGAUACAUUUGUGCUAAGCUACAGCUUUUCAUAGACAACUUGUUGACUAUGUUUAGUCUUGUGACUUACCCGCUUAUGCUAUUUUACCU